rnacentral:rRNA from 1 species
UUAUACAANAGAUUCAAUUCAAUAUUUUUGGUUAGUAGAAGUUAAAUUUUGUUUUGAGAUUAUUAUAUUUUUUUUUUAGGUGAAAUUUAAAUUUUAAUUAUUUUUUUUAAUGAUUCUUUUAAAUUCUUAUAAUUAAACUAGGAUUAGAUACCCUAUUAUUUUGAAUGUUAAAAUUUUGCCAGGGUAGUAAUAGUUAUGUUCUUUAAACCCAAAGAAUUUGGCGGUAUUUUAGUCUAUUUAGAGGAAUUUGCCCCGUAAUCGAUAAUCCUCGUUUUAUCUUUCUUGUUUUUGUUGAAUCAGUAAGUAUACCGCCGUUAUAAGUUUAUUUUUUUAGAAUUUUUAAUUUACUUUAAAAAUUAUUAUUUUUUAUUU